UAAAUUUAAAAGUUUGAUGACUAAAUUGGAACUAAACUAAUAUUUGAGAACCGACAGUACAAUCUAUCUAUAUAAAACGUUGAAAGGCAGAAAAAUUUAAGAUAGCAUUUUCUACUUAUCUCACUCUAUAACCUCUUAUUUUCCUCUCCUUAUCCCAACACGAUAGUUUUCUAUCCUGUAAUUUUGCAAUAUCUCCUUAUUCCAACCUAGACCUGGCAAACGGGCGGGUUGGGUAACCCGCGGGCAGGUCAUUGUACCCGGGGGUUACUUGGGUAUGGGUGAAAUUUACCCGCAAAUUUUCGGGUAGCCAACAUCAUUACCCAUACUCGCCCGCGGGUGGGUGGAUGGGUAUACAGGUUAUCCGCAAUUUUUUUCUUUUUUUUCUCUUAUAUUUUCUAAAUGUAAAAUACAUAUAGAUAAGUUUUAAAAAUAUAACAUAACUUAUUAUUUAAAAUAUCAUAACAUAUAAUAAAAAUAUUUAAAGUCUUAGAGUUUAAAAAUUUCGUAAUAUAAAAGACGUGAUAAGAAAUUAGAGUUAUAAUUUUUAGAAUGGGUAAAUAAAAAUAUAUAUUUUAAUUAAGAAAAUAUAUUUUGUAAUUAAAAAAUAUAUGUGCGGGUACCCGUGGAUACCCGCGGGUUACCCAAAAUGCCUACAGCUUAAUGGGUAUCCACCCGUUUUACCCGUAAUUUUUUGGGUUGGAAAAGCUGGUACCCAUACCCGCAAAUUUGCGGGUAACCCGCGGGCAUCCGCGGGUAUGGGUCGAGAUUGCCAGGUCUAUUCCAACCUCCUUCCCUAUCCACUUUCACACACAAUUAUCUAUAAACUCUUACAAAAGCCUGUUUUCUUUUGUCCAUGUAGCGAUAUUAGCUUAACUUAAUUUUUUUUUGCGGCCUACCUGCUAUCUUAAACUAUUCUACUUAAUUAUUGAUUAGUGGGGCUCACCAGACAAUUUUUUUUUCUUAUUCUUCUUCCCAUUUAAUUUCUUCAACCGCUUCUAAUUAAUUGGUUCGAGUAGCGACUUCGUCUUCCAACCGAUGUCGCUAUUUAUGAAAAUAUAUUCGCCUUUUCUUCCAUCUAACAACUCUUUCUUUCACUACAAGCAGUCCUAGAGGCGGUCGUAUAACGGCA
rnacentral:lncRNA from 1 species